rnacentral:rRNA from 1 species
AUUGAACGCUGGCGGCAUGCCUUACACAUGCAAGUCGAACGGCAGCAUGGAGAGCUUGCUCUCUGAUGGCGAGUGGCGAACGGGUGAGUAAUGCAUCGGAACGUACCGUGUAAUGGGGGAUAACGUAGCGAAAGUUACGCUAAUACCGCAUACGACCUGAGGGUGAAAGCAGGGGAUCGCAAGACCUUGCGUUAUACGAGCGGCCGAUGUCAGAUUAGCUAGUUGGUGAGGUAAAGGCUCACCAAGGCGACGCUCUGUAGCGGGUCUGAGAGGAUGAUCCGCCACACUGGGACUGAGACACGGCCCAGACUCCUCCGGGAGGCAGCAGUGGGGAAUUUUGGACAAUGGGGGCAACCCUGAUCCAGCCAUGCCGCGUGAGUGAAGAAGGCCUUCGGGUUGUAAAGCUCUUUCGGCCGGGAAGAAAUCGCACAGGCUAAUACUCUGUGUGGAUGACGGUACCGGCAUAAGAAGCACCGGCUAACUACGUGCCAGCAGCCGCCGCAG